GAUGAACGCUAGCGGCAGGCCUAACACAUGCAAGUCGAGGGGUAACUAGAGUGAUAGCAAUAUUACUUUGGCUAGACCGGCGCACGGGUGCGUAACACGUAUGCAACCUACCUUAUACUGAGGAAUAACUUCGAGAAAUCGGCGCUAAUACCCCAUAACAUUGCGAAGAGGCAUCUCUUUGCAAUUAAAGCUCCGGCGGUAUAAGAUGGGCAUGCGUCCAAUUAGCUAGUUGGUGAGGUAACGGCUCACCAAGGCUACGAUUGGUAGGGGUUCGGAGAGGAUGAUCCCCCACACUGGUACUGAGACACGGACCAGACUCCUACGGGAGGCAGCAGCGAGGAAUAUUGCGCAAUGGACGAAAGUCUGACGCAGCCAUGCCGCGUGCAGGAUGACGGCCCUAUGGGUUGUAAACUGCUUUUGUACGGGAAUAAACCCUUCUACGUGUAGGAGGCUGAAGGUACCGUAAGAAUAAGCACCGGCUAACUCCGUGCCAGCCGCCGCCGUAA
rnacentral:rRNA from 1 species